rnacentral:rRNA from 1 species
AUUGAACGCUGGCGGCAGGCCUAACACAUGCAAGUCGAACGCGUGGCGGACGGGUGAGUAAUGUCUGGGAAACUGCCCGAAGGAGGGGGAUAACUACUGGAAACGGUAACUAAUACAGCAUACCAUCGGCUGCGCCCAGAUGGGAUUAGCGAGUAGGUGGGGUAACGGCUAACCUAGGCGACGAACCCUAGCUGGUCUGAGAGGAUGACCAGCCACCCCGGAACGGAGACACGGUCCAGACUCCUCAGGGAGUCAGCAGUGGGGAAUAUUGCACAAUGGGCGCAAGCCUGAUGCAGCCAUGCCGCGUGUAUGAAGAAGGCCUUCGGGUUGUAAAGUACUUUCAGCGAGGAGGCGUUACUCGCAGAAGAAGCACCGGCUAACUCCGUGCCAGCAGCCGCGGUAAUUC